GGGCAUGCAAUAGUUCAAUAAUUUGAGAAUGAAAAAAUUCAAAACAUAGUCACUAGACGUAACAUUUUAAACAAACCACAAGAACACAACUCAAUCCAAACCCUUUUCUAAGGACAGAUUAAAAAAAACGUGUAUAAUGACCCGUGACAACAGCGCACAGGUAGGAUAGAAAAAUAUAACUGAACAGAAAAAGGGUAGCGACUAAUGUUAAAAUGGUGCUCAGAAAUAUAAGUUAGAAUUAGAAGAAUACUCAUUUAGCAACAGAAUAUCCGAUUAUAGAACAUCGAAAGUUAAACAAAAUUAUACGACCACAAAACUCAAUUUCUGACAGCAGCAAAUAGAAUUAGCAAUGAUAAGGGAACAGUUGACAGACACUCUGUCCGGAAAAUAGAAAUUCAUUAAGCCCCUCUUUGGUCCACAACUUUUAUCCACUUUUUAACCACACAUUUCACAGGGUUCACAUCUUAUAAUCUAAAAAAUCUGAACCCAACGUGUAAUUCAGAUAGAACCAGAUUGCGACAAAAUGGCCAAUUUUUUUACUAUGCGUUAUACAAUCCAUAAUUCCCAUUCUAAAAAUUCACAUGCUUCAUUGAAAAUGAUUCAAAAGGAGCACAAAAAAAGGGAAAUCAUAGUAGUUAUACAUAUAUGCUUAUAUAUAUGGAAAAUAACCAUGCUAGUAAGUAAUUGUCAUAAAUCAUUUACUACGUGUUUAUACUUCGUUUUCGUACAGAAGACCUACUACUCCUUUUCUUCUACUACCACAUACAACAUCAAUUCAGUUCGUAAAUAAAUUAAAACUAAGUGAAAGUAUAAAUCCCUUGCAGAGGAGGGAGUCGAAAUGUAAUAACUAUCCAAUUCAAGGCCAGAUAAUUUGCGAAUAAAUUAGCCAAAUCCAUCGUUUCAGUAGCAAAGUUGUUUUGUUAUCUUGUUUCUAAAUGGAUCAAGUCAUUAGAAGCGAGCAUAAAUAGGGGAAAAACAUGAAGUAUACACAUCUUUUGUUUCUCAACUAAUCAAGUUACUUAACUAUUUACAAUUAUUACAAACAAAAGAAAAUACACAAACAUACAAUAAACGUAUAGACAGCUCGUAAAGCCCUAAAAGAGAGGGAAAAUGAAUUUACAGAUAGCAAGGAGAGGACAUGGCCCAUUAUCAUUUUGCAGAAUAAUUGGCGUGGUCCGUCCCAGGAACUGUAUCACUUUAGUCUUGUGCACCAUCUCCUUUUCCUUUUCUUCCCGCUUUUGCUCAGCCGUUAAAACCGGUUCCGCGGCGGAACUCGACGGCGAUGAAGAAGAUUCGAAAGGCGGCGGAGGAGAAGAAUCCAUCAAUUUACUUUGAUUUCAAAUUAAUCGAUCAAAAAUCCUACAGCGUAUCACUCCAAUUUCGUAAUAUAUUUGUAGAAAACACGCACGGGUGGAAGUACUGGAACGCGUGAGCUGUAUAGCGAGAAAUAGCAAUUUGUUUUUGGAGAGAGACAAAAUUACAGACGGCAGUUGUUAUAUGGGGC
rnacentral:lncRNA from 1 species